AUAGUUGUUAACAUCCUGAAGAAUAGAUGCUAUUAUUCUUAUUUACCCUGCAACCGUCACCACCAAGCAAUGGAUUUUUACAUACAAAAUUGAAUUAACUGUAAAGUAAAGGAUUUUAUUCACAUCAGAUUUAUAUUCCCGUGAGUGACAGCACGUUUUAUUU